AGGGCUCCACUCUCGCAAAUGAGACUGGCCUUGUGAAAGGGGUCGAGGGAACUAACUUGGCCCUUUCUGCCCUUCUGCCUUAUGCCACAUGAAGACACUGUCCCUUCUGCCAUGUGAAGACGCAGUAAGAAGUUCCUCACCAGACACCAAAUGCUGGUGCCUCGAUUGUGGACUUCCCAGCCUCGGAAACUAACACAAGCUGGGAAGUGAGUAAGGAGAGCAUCUUUUGCAAAGGGGAGAAGACACUGAUUGGAAAGCAUUUAUGCUGCAGCCAUAGCUCAAAAUAUUAAUCUGUGAAUUUACCAAGAAGACUCCAGUUUCUCAUCUCAGGGACCAUUCCAGAGGGCUGCUGAGGAGUCCUCAUGACAUGGCAGCUGGCUUCCCCCAGAGAUCUCACUCUGCUGCCCAGGCUGGAGUACAGUGGCACAAUCUUAGCUCACUGCAGCCUUGACCUUUCAGGCUCAGGUGAUUUUCCUACUUCAGUCUCCAGAGUAGCUGGGACUAUAGCCAGUUUCAGACCUUCUUGGAAGCUGGACCCGCUCUGCCCAGAAAGCCUCAUUUUGAAGAGAAGGAAGUACCCAGCACCGCAGAAGUCAAGUGUUAGCUGACCCAAUACUCACAUGGUAAAGACAGGCAAUGGCAAAAAUUGGAAUGGAAAUAAAGGAGAUCCAAAUCCUCUAUGACAGCCAGGAGGUAAUGGUGAGAUGGAGCAGUGGUGAGAACCGCUGAAUGCCACAGCCCUCAAAAGAAGAAAAAAGGGCUUUUGAAUGAGGAAAACUGCUGCAUGGACAAGAGACAGUCUGGCCACAUGAGGAGGUUAAUCCUUGAGUAUCCUUCUCUUGGAAUUUUCUCUGAGAAAAUCCCAGUUUUGCUUAAAGGAAGGUGCAUUAGUUUCUUAGGGCUGCUAUAAUAACAUACCACAAACUCAGUGGCUUCAAACAAGAGAAAUGUAUUAUUUCCCAGUUCUGGAAGCUGAAAGUUUGAGAUUAAGGUAUUGGCGGAGCCAUGUUUGCUCUGAAGGCUCUAGGGAAGAACCUUUCCUUGUCAUGUCCUGGCUUCUGGUGAUGGUCGGCAAUCCUUGCUUUCCCUGGCUUGAAGCUGCACCACUAAAAUCUCUGCCUCCACUCUCUUCCCUGUGUCCCCUCUGUGUCUUCAAAUCUCUCCUUGAAAGGACACUAGCCGUUGGAUUUAAGGCCACCCUAAUGCAGUAUGACCUCAUCUGAACUUGAUUACAUCUGCAAAGGCCCUAUUUCCAAAUUCAGUUACAUUCAAAGAGAUGGGGGUGAGGAUGUCAAAAUAUCUUUUUGGGAAACAUAAUUCAACCUAUAGCAGAAAGGAAUAGAAGCAACGUUGCAUGAUGAGGUUGAAGGAGAGGUGAGUUAUUUAUAAUUGAGUGAUGACUUCAUAGAAUUAAACAGAAAGAAUUAGACAUGGGUUAGUAAGAGAUGACUCAAAAAGCAGGAAGCUUGGAAGAGACAGUUGUAGCAUUGAUGCUUAUAAAGCAGAGAUCUGAAAGUUGAAUGGUCCCAGGCAAAAGCCAGAUGAUGUCCAUGAGUGAAGCAUCCUGCAUGGGGUGUGUAGUGAGUCGACGGCUCAGCAUGUGCUCAAUCUGAAAGCAGCCACUGCUCAGCUCAGCGGGUUGCUGUCACAAGAGAAUAGACCCCAUGUUGUCACAUUUUCCAAAAAUAAGCAGUACACUCAGAUUACGUGGUAUCUCUUGAAUUUAAAAUGAUGACAGCUAGUUACAAAUGUUGAUGAACUGUAGAGAUUAAAAAUCCUGAUGCAGGCUGGAAUUGUACCGUGAAUGGUCAAGGAUCAUAUAGCUAGGAAGGGCAGGGGAUACAGGACAGGCAUGCAGGACAAAAAUGCAAUGCACAGCUCAGGAUUCUCAUUGGCAUGCUGCUGUUCUCCCUGGUCUCAUGGAAAACUGUUAGGAUGCAGAGUGUAAGCCCUGGUGGUUUCUGCUGAGGAGGCUGCUGGAAACAGAUGGUCUUUUUUUUAGCUAGAGACUAUUAUGAUUCCUCCCUUUAAAGAGCUUACUGUCCAUUUGAGUGGAGAAAACGGCUGUAUUUGAGAUGGGAGGUUUCCCUGUAAAUCACCUGUGUAGCCAGAGUUCCUCAGGUUGAGUGGGAUUUAGGCGUGCAAAGGAGGUGGCCUCACUCGGGGUCCUCCAAGAAGAGAAAACAGCAUGGAGACAAGCAGGGAGGUGGUGUGUGCAGAAAGAGUAAAGAGCCCACCUUGAAUGCAGGAUGUCAGGAGAUCGUGGGAAGGUCUCUCAGUGUUGUCUGUUCUUUUUCUCCUCCUCCAGUUUCACUCUCUCCCUUGCUCUGGGUCUCGGGAUGCUGACAUCUAUGGACCGAACCCACCAGUCUCCCUUGCCCUUUGGCAUCUGCUUUAGUUCAGCCAAUGGGAGGCACCAGCGAGAGAUGAGAGGGCUGGAGGGAACUGAUCAGGGUAUUUACUUUCCAGGCACUUUUUUUCGGGGCUGUUGGUUGUCAGCAGGGGUCAUGCUCCUGGUGGGCCUGGACAGCCUUUUCCUCAGCUUUAGGUCUUACUGGAUUUCUAUAAAUACUUGUUGUUCUUGCCUUGUCAGGCCCGGGGGUGGUGGCAGCUCCCUGCUGUUUGUCAGUUGCUGGAUGCUCCACCGUCCCUGAGUCACCUCAGUCCUGCCCUCUUCUUUGUGAAUUGUCCCUUCAUUCAACUCUCCUCCAGUAUUCUGUUUGAGUGUGCCAUUUAU